rnacentral:lncRNA from 13 species
AAUCCCAGUGAACCACCCUUCCCACUCCAACUGAAUUACUGACUUUCCUGGUUCUCCUACUUGAAGAGGGCAUAUUGUGGAAUUUAUUGGACUUCAUAAACAUGAAUGGGAAGAAACAUCCUCAGAGGUGUAUUUUUCAGUAACAUUUUCAGAAGUGGCCAAAAGAGUGGAAAUAAAAGGACAUCCAAAUGGAUGGAGAUGAAAGGCAAGAAAUGCAAUGAAUCGUGGACUGAUUUCUAGGGAGCAGAACCAAGCUCUGAUCAAGAAAAUUCUCUGUUCCUAGAGUAAGGAGACCUAGUGACAUUUGCCUGACUAGAUUUCAGAAUUGUCAUAAAGCAGUGACUGCAAUGUUCCUUCUGUUUUAUACUCAAAAUGAGGGUGAUUUUGUAGUUUUUCUGGUUCUAUCUCACAGUUAUCUGUUGGGUUACACCAGAAAGGUAACUUUUCCUUUCUAGGUUUUUCACAGGUCUCUGGAGCAAAGAGAGUAUAUCCAAAGAGCUGCAUCUAGGAUUGAUACAGAUUCUCAAUUUUAUGACUUUGAGCCUGGUGCCAUGAUUGGAUGACAUUUUGAAAGAUCCUGGGAUGGGUGCACCAUAUAUUGCCUUUGGAAGUAUGUAGUUAAGUUCCGUUAGCUUGCUAGGAGAUGAAAAACACAUGACUCAGUUGCUCUUGUCACCCUAGAGAACCUCCUAGCUGACCUGUAGACCACAGAUGCAUGAAGAAUGUCAAGCUGAAUUCAGAAGAGCUUACCUACAUCCAAAAUUGUUGACCUAUAAUUUUUAUCCAGUGUGCUAGAUAAAACCUCAGUUUAAUGGGGGAAUGAAGAGGAGAAACUGUUUGAAAUUCACCUUCUGAACCAUUAACAAUACCUGGAAGGAUAAAGCUAAGAAAGUGAGACUUAAAUAAGAAAUCUUGUCAAAAAAAAAAAAGAAAGAAAGUGAGACUUGAGUUCUUCCAACCUGUACUUCACCAGAGCUUCUCAUCUGAUUCAUUUGUAAAUAUUGCUGUUGUUUUCUUAGUUGUACAAGCUGCUUCAGACUGCACGAACAUUGUCAUACUCAAUCUUCACAGCUACUCCAUGAGGGGUCAAGCUGGGAAAAUACAAAUCAGAAUGAAGUGUAUAUCCUGUCCCAAUGAGUUUACAAGUCUGAGAAGAAACACAUGCAAAGAAACACACAAUAAGAUAGAUAGGAGAAAAUUUCAAGAAACCAAGAUGAUUUCAACAUGA